GGCGGCGUGCUUAACCACCAUGCAAGUCGAACGAUGAAGCCUAGGCUUGCCUGGGUGGAUUAGUGGCGAACGGGGGUGAGUAACACGUGAGCAACCUGCCCCGGACUCUGGGAUAAGCGCUGGAAACGGCGUCUAAUACCGGAUAUGAGCUUCUAUCGCAUGGUGGGGGUUGGAAAGAUUUUUCGGUCUGGGAUGGGCUCGCGGCCUAUCAGCUUGUUGGUGAGGUAAUGGCUUACCAAGGCGUCGACGGGUAGCCGGCCUGAGAGGGUGACCGGCCACACUGGGACUGAGACACGGCCCAGACUCCUACGGGAGGCAGCAGUGGGGAAUAUUGCACAAUGGGCGCAAGCCUGAUGCAGCAACGCCGCGUGAGGGAUGACGGCCUUCGGGUUGUAAACCUCUUUUAGCAGGGAAGAAGCGUGAGUGACGGUACCUGCAGAAAAAGCGCCGGCUAACUACGUGCCAGCAGCCGCGGUAAUACGUAGGGCGCAAGCGUUAUCCGGAAUUAUUGGGCGUAAAGAGCUCGUAGGCGGUUUGUCGCGUCUGCUGUGAAAACCCGAGGCUCAACCUCGGGCCUGCAGUGGGUACGGGCAGACUAGAGUGCGGUAGGGGAGAUUGGAAUUCCUGGUGUAGCGGUGGAAUGCGCAGAUAUCAGGAGGAACACCGAUGGCGAAGGCAGAUCUCUGGGCCGUAACUGACGCUGAGGAGCGAAAGGGUGGGGAGCAAACAGGCUUAGAUACCCUGGUAGUCCACCCCGUAAACGUUGGGAACUAGUUGUGGGGUCCUUUCCACGGAUUCCGUGACGCAGCUAACGCAUUAAGUUCCCCGCCUGGGGAGUACGGCCGCAAGGCUAAAACUCAAAGGAAUUGACGGGGACCCGCACAAGCGGCGGAGCAUGCGGAUUAAUUCGAUGCAACGCGAAGAACCUUACCAAGGCUUGACAUACACGAGAACA
rnacentral:rRNA from 1 species